rnacentral:rRNA from 1 species
GGAAUCUUCCACAAUGGGCGAAAGCCUGAUGGAGCAACGCCGCGUGUGUGAUGAAGGGUUUCGGCUCGUAAAACACUGUUGUAAGAGAAGAAUGACAUUGAGAGUAACUGUUCAAUGUGUGACGGUAUCUUACCAGAAAGGAACGGCUAAAUACGUGCAG